GCCACCCUAGCUCAGUUGGUAGAGCAAUUCAUUCGUAAUGAAUAGGUCGUCGGUUCGAGUCCGAUGGGUGGCUCCA
rnacentral:tRNA from 1 species